UCAGUUGCCAUCAUUAAGUUGGGGUCGACUCUGUGGAGACUGCCGGUGGUCAAACCGGAGGAAGGUGGGGAUGACGUCAAGUCCUCAUGGCCCUUAUGACCAGGGCUACACACGUGCUACAAUGGCCGGUACAAAGAGUUGCGAUACCGUGAGGUGGAGCCAAUCUCAUAAAGCCGGUCUCAGUUCGGAUUGGAGUCUGCAACUCGACUCCAUGAAGUUGGAAUCGCUAGUAAUCGCGGAUCAGCAUGCCGCGGUGAAUACGUUCCCGGGCCUU
rnacentral:rRNA from 1 species